AUUGAACGCUGGCGGCAGGCCUAACACAUGCAAGUCGAGCGAGCGGCGGACGGGUGAGUAAUGUCUGGGAAACUGCCUGAUGGAGGGGGAUAACUCCUGGAAACGGUAGCUAAUACAGCAUACCAUCAGAUGUGCCCAGCUGGGAUUAGCUAGUAGGUGGGGUAACGGCUCACCUAGGCGACGAUCCCUAGCUGAUCUGAGAGGAUGACCAGCCACACUGGAACUGAGACACGGUCCAGACUCCUACGGGAGGCAGCAGGGGGGAAUAAUGCACAAUGGGCGCAAGCCUGAUGCAGCCAUGCCGCGUGUGUGAAGAAGGCCUUCGGGUUGUAAAGCACUUUCGUCGGGGAGGCGUUACCCGCAGAAGAAGCACCGGCUAACUCCGUGCCAGCAGCCGCGGUAAUAC
rnacentral:rRNA from 1 species